rnacentral:rRNA from 1 species
UACGUAGGGUGCGAGCGUUAAUCGGAAUUACUGGGCGUAAAGCGUGCGUAGGCGGUUCUCCAAGUCCGUUGUGAAAGCCCCGGGCUCAACCUGGGAAUGGCAGUGGAAACUAGGGGACUGGAAUCUGGCAGAGGGGGAUGGAAUUCCGCGUGUAGCAGUGAAAUGCGUAGAUAUGCGGAGGAACACCGAUGGCGAAGGCAAUCCCCUGGGCCUGCACUGACGCUCAUGCACGAAAGCGUGGGGAGCAAACAGG